rnacentral:rRNA from 1 species
UACGUAGGGUGCGAGCGUUAAUCGGAAUUACUGGGCGUAAAGCGUGCGUAGGCGGUUCGUUAAGUGCGUCGUGAAAGCCCCGGGCUCAACCUGGGAAUGGCGAUGGAAACUGGCGGGCUGGAGUAUGGCAGAGGGGGGGUGGAAUUCCGCGUGUAGCAGUGAAAUGCGUAGAGAUGCGGAGGAACACCGAUGGCGAAGGCAGCCCCCUGGGCCAAUACUGACGCUCAGGCACGAAAGCGUGGGGAGCAAACAGG